rnacentral:rRNA from 1 species
CAAUAGCGUAUAUUUAAGUUGCUGCAGUUAAAAAGCUCGUAGUUGGAUUUCGGGUGGGAAUGGCCGGUCCGCCGUUUCGGUGUGCACUUGCUACGCCCACCUUGCUGCCGGGGACGUGCUCUUGAGUUCACGCUCGGGACACGGAGUCGGCGAGGUUACUUUGAGUAAAUUAGAGUGUUCAAAGCAGGCCUAUGCUCUGAAUACAUUAGCAUGGAAUAACACGAUAGGACUCUGGCCUAUCUUGUUGGUCUGUAGGACCGGAGUAAUGAUUAAGAGGGACAGUCGGGGGCAUUCGUAUUUCAUUGUCAGAGGUGAAAUUCUUGGAUUUAUGAAAGACGAACUACUGCGAAAGCAUUUGCCAAGGACGUUUUCAUUAA